AUUCCACCAAAUAUCCCUCAUUUUACUGUGUAUUUUUGGUUUUGGUUUGUUUGCUGUUAAUUUAAUGAAGGGACUUGUUCAUGUAAUUUACAUGGGAAAUGCGCCCUCUGCUGGGCGUUUUGGGAAUGUACUGUUUGUUUUCCCGGAUCUCGUCAGACGGUGUUGGAUCUGGCCGAGAGCGGCGUGUGUUGAGGGCGAAUGAGCAACGCUGUUUUCUUUCUCUAAAACACUGAACAGAGCAUUAAACGUCCUGUGCCAAGGCCUGAGUUUCCAGUCGUCUUCACUCUAGACACAACGCAGGUAACCGGUACUGAGGCCAGACCGGUUACAUUGGUGCCGUGACCCGGAUCCAUCGUGGAUCAACACCAGCUUGGUCGCCGGAGGUUGCUGAAGGCUAUCGCAAGGUUUUUUUGUGGAACUUGCACUGAAGUGAUUUUGUCACAGUUAAAAGAA